GAAUGCAAUGGUUCGUUUGCGAAAUUGGACGAAAAUUUGUAUUCGAAUAUAUAAAAACGGAGCAAAAUGUAAAAACGAAAAAGCGCCAACAAACUGAUGCCAGAGAUGUGCGAGUAGAAGUAGUAGCGAAAGGCCACCAAGAAAUUAAUUUUAUUUGGGUGACUCGUGGUUUUACAAUGCUCUGACAUUUGAUCGUGCUCACACAAGCACUAACACGCCAUUCCAAUUCAUCAGCAUACUUGUGAUAUUCAAUUAGUUGAAACAAUUUGAUGCAACAUUGUGCACGAUUACAACAAAAGGAGAUGAAGGCAGUUUAACAGAAAUACGGAAUUUCACGAUUUUUUGGCGGAUGGAGAGCUGUAAUUUUGUGAAAUCUACAAACUUGUGGUUGCGGGAUACAAUGAAGAGUGCUUGGCUUUUGUAAUCAUAAAUGUAGAACAUAUUAAUCAGUGACGUUAUACAAAAUGUGCUAAUUGCCCACGAAUAAAUUUUAACAAUUAAAUUCACUUUGCUGGAGGGGUGUGAAUACCACUUUGUGUCUUUUUCUGUUGAAAUAUUUGGAUAUAAGUAAUAAGAAUGUACAACAGUUCGUUAAUAGAAUUAAUGAAUGUAAAUAUUUUGACGUAAUUAAAAAUAAAAAAGGAU